rnacentral:rRNA from 1 species
GGACUACUGGGGUAUCUAAUCCCAUUCGCGACCCACGCUUUCGUGCUUCAGCGUCAGGAGCGGGCCAGUCUCUUGCCUUCGCUUUUGGUGUUCCCCAUGAUAUCAACGCAUUUCACCGCUACACCAUGAGUUCCAGAGACCUCUCCCGUCCUCGAAGCCUCGCCGUUUCCCAUCCAGCCUACCGGUUGAGCCGGCAGAUUUAAGACAGGACUAACGAAGCCGCCUACGCACCCUUUACGCCCAAUGAUUCCGGAUAACGCUUGAAGCACUCGUAUUACCGCGGCUGCUGGCAC